ACGCUCGACACCUACGGGAGCAGCAGUGGGGAAUAUUGCACAAUGGGGGAAACCCUGAUGCAGCGACGCCGCGUGGAGGAAGAAGGUCUUCGGAUUGUAAACUCCUGUUGUUGGGGAAAAAGAGGAUGGUACCCAACAAGGAAGUGACGGCUAACUACGUGCCANCAGCCGCGGUAAUCUGAGGCGGGCUGGCAAGGC
rnacentral:rRNA from 1 species